UGUCUUAUAUUCUAUAUGGUGAUUUUAAAUUGCAAAUUUAAAGGGGAAAAUUAAUUCUAAGGCUU
rnacentral:tRNA from 1 species